rnacentral:lncRNA from 1 species
ACCAACUCUUAUUUAUGCAAGUCAAUUGGAUCCGGCUCAGUUUAAUUUUGAGCUUAAAUUUAAUGAUUUUUUAAUCCAAAUCAAACUAUCAUAAUUAGGCUCAAAAUUGUAUUGCAGCCUAGUUAUUUCAAUAAAAAUUAUAAAAUUUGUGGGAAUGGACAUCUCUACUUUUGCUAAUUAAAAAUCCUUCAAAAUAUCUAAAAAACCACAUGAAAAAUAAUUAGAAAAUAAAAAAGA